UCGCUAGUAAUCGCGCAUCAGCCAUGGCGCGGUGAAUACGUUCCCGGGCCUUGUACACACCGCCCGUCAAGCCAUGGGAGCCGGGGCGCCUGAAGUCCGGGACCGCGAGGACCGGCCUAGGGCGAAACUGGUAACUGGGGCUAAGUCGUAACAAGGUAGC
rnacentral:rRNA from 1 species